rnacentral:misc_RNA from 1 species
GAUGAAGAACGUAGCGAAAUGCGAUACGUAGUGUGAAUUGCAGAAUUCCGUGAACCAUCAAAUCUUUGAACGCAUAUUGCGCUCGAGGCUUCGGCCGAGAGCAUGUCUGCCUCAGCGUCGGUAUUACCCCUCGCUUCUCAACCCCUGGUUGAUGCCUGCCUGCCUUUGCAGUUGGCUAGAAGCGGAUCUGGCUUUCCCAAUUGCCUUUGGUAGUUGGGUCAGCUGAAGCACAGAGGCUUGAGCAAGGAACCUUAUUGGGCUUCAACUGGAUAGGUAGAACUGGUCUUAGGACCAACUACACGAAGUUGUUGCUUGUGGUCUUUUGUCUGGAGGCCAGCAGGAAACCUUUAUACCUUCGACCUGAGCUCAGGCAAGAUUACCCGCUGAACUUAAGCAUAUCAAUAAGCGGAGGA